rnacentral:rRNA from 1 species
UACGUAGGGGGCAAGCGUUGUCCGGAUUUAUUGGGCGUAAAGAGCGUGUAGGCGGCCAGGUAGGUCCGUUGUGAAAACUGGAGGCUUAACCUCCAGCUGUCGAUGGAAACCAUCUGGCUAGAGUCCGGAAGAGGAGAGUGGAAUUCCUGGUGUAGCGGUGAAAUGCGCAGAUAUCAGGAAGAACACCCGUGGCGAAGGCGGCUCUUUGGGACGGUACUGACGCUGAGGAGCGAAAGCGUGGGGAGCGAACAGG